AGUGAAUAGAUACCCAGGUAGUCCACGCUGUAAACGAUGAACACUCGAUGUUGGCGAUACACAGUCAGCGUCUGAGCGAAAGUAUUAAGUGUUCCACCUGGGGAGUACGGUCGCAAGAUUGAAACUCAAAGGAAUUGACGGGGCCCGGCCACAAGCGGAGGAGCAUGUGGUUUAAUUUACGAUGAUACGCGAGGAACCGUUACCUGGGCGUCGAACGUAGGAGGACAGCUGCGGAAACGUGGUCUUCCCUCGGGACGUUCCUACGAGGUGCUGCAUGGUUGUCGUCAGCUCGUGCCGUGAGGUGUCGGGUUAAGUCCCAUAACGAGCGCAACCCCUACCUUUAGUUGCCAUCAGGUAAUGCUGGGGUACGUCUAAAGG
rnacentral:rRNA from 1 species